UACGAAGGGGGCUAGCGUUGCUCGGAAUGACUGGGCGUAAAGGGCGCGUAGGCGGACAGCUUUGUCAGGCGUGAAAUUCCAGGGCUUAACCUUGGGGCUGCGUUUGAGACGGGUUGUCUUGAGUGGGGAAGAGGGUCGUGGAAUUCCCAGUGUAGAGGUGAAAUUCGUAGAUAUUGGGAAGAACACCGGUGGCGAGGGCGGCGACCUGGUCCUUUUACUGACGCUGAGGCGCGAAAGCGUGGGGAGCGAACGGG
rnacentral:rRNA from 1 species